rnacentral:rRNA from 1 species
UACGUAGGGUGCAAGCGUUAAUCGGAAUUACUGGGCGUAAAGCGUGCGCAGGCGGCUUUGCAAGACAGAUGUGAAAUCCCCGGGCUUAACCUGGGAACUGCAUUUGUGACUGCAUGGCUGGAGUGCGGCAGAGGGGGAUGGAAUUCCGCGUGUAGCAGUGAAAUGCGUAGAUAUGCGGAGGAACACCGAUGGCGAAGGCAGCCCCCUGGGUCAACACUGACGCUCAUGCACGAAAGCGUGGGGAGCAAACAGG